CGGCUAACUCAGUCAGUCAGCCGCGAGCCGCGGUGAACAGAAGGUGUGGUGAUUGUUUCUGUGGGUUGACGGGCCAAAAAUGGCGGAGCGUACGAAGACGACAGCCCCGGCCACCCGGCCCGUUCCCAUGAAGCUGUUUGCCACUUGGGAAGUAGAUCGCACAGCACCUAACUGCAUACCCAGGCUGUGCUCCCUAACUCUGACCCGACUGGUCACACUUCGGCCAUUAGGUUCCGAUUUAACUUCCAUCAGCAUCGCGGUGAAGAUGCAAAGCUCGAAGAGGACCCUCCGCUCGAACGAGAUGGCCAUACCAAUCGGUGGCAUGUUGGACACGGAACUGGAGCUUCAAUUUGCCCUUCAAUAUCCCCAUUUCCUCAAGAGAGACGGAAACAAACUUCUUAUACUGUUGCAGAGGAGGAAACGAUAUAAAAAUCGCACGAUGCUCGGAUACAAGACCCUCGCUGAAGGCGUCAUCAACAUGGCACAAGUACUACAGAAGCAAAUGGACCUGGAACUGGAACUGGUGUCGGACAAGGCUGAAAAGUACGGUGGUCAUUCGGUCGUAUUAGCUCGUGUGAGCGUGGUCGCAUUGACCUCUCAGCCAGUCGACCAGGACAAAAGACUGAUGAAUGAACCGAACGAAAGGCUUUGCCCGGAGUAUAGCGACGAGGAGGAGGAAUUCAGCUCAGAGGGCGAGGCGGAGGGCAGCGACAGUGAGCCAACUCUCGAGAUGCACAGGCGGAAGAGCCGAGCGAAGAUUCCAGCCAAUGCCAGGGUAUCAAAAUUUCCCAGAGGACUAGACCGGUUUCAUAUAUGCAAAAAGCAACGAAGUCUUUACUUGUUACAGCAAAGAAAUCUGAAGCAAAAAUUUAUAGCCCUUUUGAAACGACGCUUCAGAGUGUCCGAGGAUCUGGAUCAAGAUCAGGAAGAAAUCGGGCAGAAGCUCUCAGAGUCGUUAACACAGUACGCUGGAUUUGUUAAAGGCGGAGACAUGGAGAUCGAGGAAUUGUUCGACGAACUCGAAGAUUUGUCCGAUAGUGGUCCAGAAUUGGACACCAUGUCCGUCAGUAGCACACCUAAACCAUCCUUACGACCUUUCUUCAGCUCUAGUAGAUCGCUUCUCGCGCCUCCUAAUUCCGUAGUAACCAACGAGGAGACCGGAAGCACUCCUACGACAGCCGUAGGUCAACAGAGCGCAGGUCAGCCAGCUAAAGAGAAACACCGUAUCGGACACACCACUCCAGAACGUGGCGUGGAUAGGCAAAGCGACGAUAGUUCCCGAAGAGCGGACAGCGAUUCGCAUCCAGAAAACUGGACAGAUCACGAGGCGAAUGAUCCACCGAAUUAUGUUCCGGGUUCCCCGCCAAAAUCGGAGCAGCACAAUAAAAGUGAGAGCUCCGACAGGAGGAGCAGACUUUUUACUCGCGAUAGAGGUGCACCGGGUAUCAAUAAGUCGAAAAAACACAACCUCAGCGUGGAUUUAAAACCGCCUGCCGAUUUGAACAGCUCUGAGCCAAGGAAGGCGUUAGUCGAGCAAUUAAGCCGAGUUUUACCGGAUGACAGUUUGCCAGAUUCGGUGUCGUUGGUCUCGUUAGCUGACCCCGGUGGAGCCGUGCUUGCCACGAGACUUCAAGAAAGAAACCACAGGGUUCUGACAACCGCUUCUCCAGCGGACAUUCGUGCCACGUUCACGUGCUUGGUCACGCGAAUACAAAAAUUUUGUAACAGUUCCGCAAAACCUCCAGCGCCCAUUAAGGUGGUGAUCGCUGGCGGUGACAGUUUCAUAAACGCUGUGCUGCGUCAUUACGUGGAGCUCCUCAGCUUCCGACCACCUGAUUGGCAGAAUUAUCUGAGGUUUCUGGUCGUGCCUCUCGGUUCCAAUACACUGUCUAAGUAUCUGAGUUCGGUAGACGCGAAAUACUCGAUGCUGUUCGGCGACGAGUGGAAAGAAUUGCUUGAAAGGGAAGGUGGUGGUGCCAGCGAGGGUGCGGCGAGGGUGUCGGAAUAUUUAGCAGUGGCUGGUACAACCUUACUGCUACCAAUUGCCGAAGCCAUGGUCACGUACAGGGAAACAGACGACAGCAGUCAAAUAUUCAUCCCGUUCAUAAACGACGUUCGGGUAGGAUGUCCAGACAGCAGUUCCUCGGCAUCGGUCGAUCUCGAGGAAAGUAACGUUACCAUGUCCGGUUCCCCACCCUCGUUACCACCCCCAGGGUUACCUGUACCACCUCCUGGAAGAUUAACACCACCCAGCAGCCCCAAUGUUGGUCAACCUUCGAGAGAAGGCUGGGAACCGGUCGAGUUGCAACUCGAUUAUUGGAGCAAACAAACGCAAGGUGAAAAAGGAAAGAACACUUUGAGGCAAGCGUUCAGGGCCUUGCAUGUUCAGAGACUUCCACCCUUGGGAGAAACCCCUGGUCAUCAUCUGUCCAUGAAUUACACCACGAAGGAGAAGAAACAGAAAAUAAUGAGACUGGGUAAAAAGAAAGAGAAAGAAAAGGAAAACGAGCCAAAGAGUCAAACGGUCGAAGGCGUGACGCGACUUAUAUGUUCUGCGAAAACUCACAACAUUCCAUUAAGAGUGAGCAUCGACGGUACCGAGUGGUACGGUGUGAAAUUCUUCCAACUAUCAGCGCAAUGGCAAACGCACAUCAAGACAUUUCCAAUAGCUUUGUUGGAGUACAGUUCUCAGCAACAAGUUCCCAAUCCUACGUAAACUUCCUUUUUCUGUACAUGAGAGAGGCUAGAUAUUUUGCCGAUUUCGUUUGUGUUCAUGGAUAUUGCCAAUUAGGAUCAUCAGCUUAGCUUACGCGCAGAUCCGAUAACCAUCAAAUCCUCGAAACCAAAAACAGCAAAAAAGAGAAAAAAAAUACAUAAGAAAACGCAAUAGAGAACGAGUUUGAACAGUGAUAUCUGCUGCUUUAAACUGGAUAUCGUUGAAGCUGAUUCAGAAAUUUGAAAAUUUUGGAGUGGAAGAACAUAAAGGUCUGUUUUGGGAAAUUUCGAAAAUGAUUUGAGAAAUUUGAGAACUAGUUUGAACAACGGGACUUUUGCAUCUGCGAGCAAAUUCGUUUUAUUCCCUUUUCUUUGUUGAUGGUAUUUAUCGUUUAAUUUAUGCAAUAAAGGAGGAUCAUUGGUAA
rnacentral:misc_RNA from 1 species